GCCGCGAUAGGUUAACUGGUAAACCACCCGGCUGUGGCCCGGGAAACUUCGCGUUCGACUCGCGAUCGCGGCC
rnacentral:tRNA from 1 species